ACUGGGUGCCCAACAUUAAAAUAUGACAAGGAAAGAUGUUUAAUGAAAGUUCAAGAUGACACUGGGCAAAGUAGCAGAAGGCAGCACUAGGUGAGUAAGCGCAUGGUCUUCCUUUACCACAGGGGCUCAGAGGAAGGAGAAAUCUGUUCAGAUUGGUGUGUUCAGGACAGAUUUCAUGGAAGAAGUGGAGGUUCGAGCUAGUUGAAUUUGGCCAACUAGGUCAGUGGGAAUGGGGAGGCAUUUGGGUGCAGGGAAAAGGCCUAAGAGAAAAUACAGAGGAAAUAAAAUGAAGAAGCUUUUAGAAGACAGCAAAUAGUCCAGUGUCUAGAGCAAAUGGCUCAUGCAGGAGAAAAGGAAUUUUAGGUGGGAAAGAUAGGCUGAGGCUGGGAAUGUUCUGUAUAAGGCGAAGAAGCUGGGGUUUUUGUUUCAUGGUAAAGGGAAGGCAAUGAAGAUUUUUUAGUACUUAUUUUGAUCUGAACCAGGUGUCUGAGUUACAGGAUUUCCAAUAAUUUAUAUUUCUGAAACAUUUUUUUUUCUUUUAGCCUGCGUUAGUGAAUAUCACUUAACCCAGAAAACUAGGAUUGGAUUAAUUAAAUAUGAUGUUUGGAUAUUGAAAAUAAGAGGAUUUAUCAAAAUUUCCUUAUUGUUGAUUUCAUAAAUGAGAAAUACAGAGUUUAAUAUUGAAUAUAGUUCUUGGCCACACCUUCUGGAACACAAAUUAUGAACUCAGGUUUUUCAGGGAAAAGUUGAAUGACCAACUUUCAUUCUUUGUGGGCACAAGAGGAAAUUUUGGAGAAAAAAUUUGGCAUUGGAUUCAGAUCCAGAAACACCAUAUUUUGAGCAAGUUUGGAUGAAAAUGUGCAUUUUGGGGGCAUUUUGGAGAUAAUAUCUGGCAUGGGAAUGAUGUUCCCCAAAGCCAACUUUCUGAGUCUCAUUCAAUCUUCAUUUUAGUUUUCUUUCAGAGAUAAAACUGAAAUUAUUGUGCAUACUAUAACUGCAAAGAAACUGCCAGGGAGUUUUAAUGACUUUCCCAGACUCAGUCAGCUAGUUCAUGGUGGAGCAAGACUCUUGCGAAGCUGGUCGGAUCCAGGCAGCGUCUCUGGAACAGUGAGCUGGCAGUGGGCAGGCUCCAGUGGAUUAGAGCACAGACAUAUAGUCAAGGAGGCAACCAAAUUAGACCAGAGCCUUUUGCAGCCAGGCAGGUGUGAGAUGGUAACAAGACAACUGGGAAUGAGGCAUGAGAGAGAAAGCCCUUAUGAAGAGGAUCAUGAGGAUUCUGGCCUGAGAGAAGAGGGCCCCAUCAACCUAAUAGGCAGCCUCCGAAGGCCAGGCGGCAGUUCAUUAAAGAAGAUGAGGGAAAAUAAACACACAUGUACACACACACCAGAUAAAACUGAAUGCUUCCUUCUGCUGGGAACACGCUAUAGGUGAGCAAAGUGCACCAAGGACAAGGCGGCCACCGGUAGAUGCCCUUUGUAGGCCUAUCAAGGAUCAUUUGAGACGAUGCUAUUUUCCUGCUUUAAAAUCUCCUUCUAGAAUAUUUAGUGCUUACAGUGGGGAGUGCCAGGCUUCCAGGUUGCUUGUCCAGGUGUUGGGUGAGUGUUAAGCCAGUGAAGUGUGAUGAGCCCAAGUCAUCUCUGAUCCAAGAUCAGCACUGAAACAUGCAAAGGUCCCAGGAUGCUGAAGCCAGAGAGGUUGGGGAAAACAACAGAUACAUGUGGGUUCUAUAUAAAUAUAUAUACAUAUGGGUUCACUAUCAAAGUACAUAUUAUUUGCAAAUGUUUAUUGUAAAAUCCAUUGUGUAACACAACUCAUUCUUGCCUCUGGAGAGUAAAAUGUUUAUUAUAUAUUUUUGGGUUAUUAAUACCGUUAGGGUAUCCUUGUUCUUAUAUCUUGGAUGACUGUUGUUAAUUUAUUAUGACUGUAUGAUUUGUAUUAGGGAGCUACAUUACCAACAUUUAUUUGGGGUGUUGAAAAGUUAUAGAUAAAUUAGUUUUGUAAGAAAACAGAAUCUUGGGGAUGAGUACUGAAGUAUGUAGAACCAGGCCAGUUAUAAAGCAGAUUUCAUAAAACCAUUCUCAGAAAUAAAAAUGUGUCCAAAAACCCCACCACAAUAUUUGUUUUCCAUGGUUCUAUUACACCUGCAUGAAGUGGGCUCAGCACCAGAAGGGCUACAUUUACCUGUGCCCCUUCCAAGACCAAAGGGAAACCUUUUGAGGAGAGACUAGUAAGUCCCAGUGCUGGAGGAGAUCUGUGGAUAUCAGGUAUGGCUUUGUUCCUUACUUCUUUCUUGGACCUUUUCCUACAAUAGUACUUGUGGAACCUAAGCUAUCUGUCCAUCUCAUAGUAAAUUUGAGAGAGAUUUCAAAAAACUGAAGUACAGAAUCUUACUACAGGACCCUUAGGAUGAGUCAAGAUCUUGUUUGGGUUUCAAAGAACAAUUCAGUGCCCUGGCAUCACAGAUACAUCCGUUUGAGUUGCAGUUACCCUUGUUCCAGGGUCUGGAAUGCAUGGUUAGCAUAGGCAAACCCAGCCGAGGAGAGAGAGCUCAGCAGUCACCAGAGAAAACAGUGCCAUUUAUUCUGAGAAUGUGCAGAAACAGCAUUUGAUUGGGAAGAGGCCUUCGGUCAUUUAUCUCUCACUUUUAAAAUGAUGAGAUCGAUGUGUCUCCCCAGUGGGCUGUCCCCCUUCUAUUCAGCAACAAUACACUAUUUCUUUUCAAAGAGAAAUAUGCUUCCAAUAAGGGGGAAGGGAGGCUGGGGGUGGUAGUGAAGGGGAUCAAGCAACUUUCAUUGAAGGAUUCAUUUUUGAUUUAAAUAUUUUGUUCUAAUCUCCAACUUCCUUUUUAACUUGGCAGAAUGACCAAAAGAAAAACAAUGUCCCUCCCUAGCCCAGUUUACAGCCUGCCAGAGCAGAGGAUCCGGUUACUUCUUCCAAAUUGUAUACGUUGGGUUGUUCGAUAUACUAGGUUUUUUUCUUUUUACAUCUAUUGCUCAUGUACGUGGGGUUUUCUUUUAAUUGCUUGUCAAAGUGGACUUUGGUGAAAAACCACAGGAGAAAAAUGAAAAAUAUAGAUCAACUAUAGCCAGCUAUUUAAUGCUUUUUUUUUUUUUUUUUUUUUUUUUUUGGUUCUUUGAGUAUGCUGCGGAAGGAAUUCUCUGCAAGUGAUACAUCCUGUAACUGUAGGCAGAUGUAAUCCCCUGGCCGUGACACAGGCAAAAAUUUCCCUUCACAUUGGAGACAUUCGCAGCCAUUUUGUUCCCUCCCACAAAGAGGAAGUGCACAGGGAGGAGGGUGCUCUGGGCCCCACGCACUCCCUGUGAUGCUCCAGAAUUGUUUUUACAAUUCCCAUGGUGCCCCGUGAAUGCUGCCUUGGAAGGGAAAGAAGCCCAGGGUGUUGCAGCCUGGGGUUGGAAUCUGGGCUGAAUCUUCUCCAAAAGCCCUUUCUCCUUCUUGUUGCCGAUUUGCCCCACUCCUUGCUUUAAGCUUGGUUUCAAACUUACCUCAAGGACACAUGCUGAGAUUGAUUCUGCUCAAUCUAGUCCCUGCUCUUUUUAGCGUUAUCUAUAGUGUGUCCUGAGAGGUACUGUUUGUGUUAUAUUCAUUGGGACUUGUACCUUUGCUUUGUAAAUAUGUAAAAAGCAUAUUUUUUCCUUGUGGUGGAGAAUGCUUCUCCUACUGGGUGUAGGAAUAAAUUCCACCUUACCCAGACCAGAAAUAGCUCAACGCAUGUCUUGUUUGGGGGUCUCCAGAAGCAUAGCCUGAGACAAUGAUUUGCGUGCAGUGGCUCAAUGGAGAGGAAUCCCGGGAGAUCCUAGUCGAGGAGUGGAUAAAUGAGACAGGGAAGGGAAGGAAGCCACCGAAGGGAGCCUCGUCAAGGUGGUGUCCACUGUGGACAAUUGGAUCUUAACACAGCCUAGGAGGCUUGUCAACCUCAGCACUAUUGACGAUUUUAGCUGAUGAUUCUUUGUUAUGGGGGCUGUCUUGUGAAUUACAGGAGGCUUACAGCAGCCCUGACCUCUGCCUGCUAGGUGCUGGUAGCACUCCCUCCAUCACGGCUUAUUGCAUGGGUUGUAACAAUCAAGAAUGUCUCCAGACAUUGCCUAGUACUCCCAGGGGGGCAAAACUGCCCAUGGUUUAGAACCACAGGAGCCACAGGAACUCUGGCCAUGGGUAGUCUGGCUGCCAUGCUCUGAGAUGGUAAAGGCCACGGUGAGCCCUAGAGUGUCCACUGCAUCCUCUUCUAGAGCCAGAGCAGCACUUGGGGAGGCUGAGGAGUGAGCAGAACUGCCCGUCACUCAGCAGACAGCUGCUGGGAUGAGGCAGGCCUGCCUAACAUAAAACCAAUGGAAAUAUUUGUUUUCAGUGACUCCUUUCUAACUCUGCAAGCUCCCAUUAACCUGGUGAUCUCUCAUCCUUCACCCCCAUAAAAUCUUCUCUAAGAAAAGGUUAGAUAAACCCAGGCUCUACUUCCUUGGGCUGUACACAUUCUUAGAGCCUGGAGAGAAUUUAAGCUAAAAGAAAACAACAUUUCUUGAGCCUGUUAGGAGGGAGGCAGUUUCCCUAUGGGCUAUCUCAUUAAUUCCUCAAAUCAGCCCUGCAACAGAAGUCUUAUUAACCUAUUUUACACACUGGUUGGAUCACUCCGGUAGAUACAGUUAUUGAGGGCAAAGUCUAGAUUUGAAUUCAGCUCUCCUUGCAUCUAAUAAAGGGCAUGAAUUUUCUGUGUUCACUAUGGGUUGGUGAGUGUGAGGCCAGAAUACUUCAGCAAGAGGAAUAUUUUCAGGAGGCUCCAACACAUGGAUGGAUGCUGAAGAAACCAACCAAGAAGUAAAAUGGGGUCCAGAGUGUGGGAACUGAGGGU
ensembl:lncRNA